AUGGUGCAGGCCAAGAAAUGGAAGACCGACAGCAGGGGGUCGAACAGCAGCGUGGAGCACAGCGUGUCCUCCUUCACAAAUGGGACGCACAGCUCCCUCAACAGUGAGGUGGAGGAGGACGAACUAGCCUGCUCCAUAGAGCCCAGCGUGCAGUGUAACCCCUACAUGCACUGUAAUGGACACCCGAGUGAUCAUAGUGACCCUGUUUUUGAGAAGAACCACCGAUCUACAGACUCAGAUAAUGAGGAAUUCUGUGACUCAAUGGAGCAUCUAGCCAUGGAAGAGCUGGUGUCUGCAUCGAAAGUUCAGUCACCUGGAUCAGGAGCUGCCUCAGUGAAGCAAAAGGACUUGUGGUUUGAGAGCAGCACCACUCUGAAUGUAGGAGAGGAUCAAGCACUCCCAGGGAUUAGUACAAGCCAACACAACAGCUCCUUGUCAAGAAGAGGGAAAGGAUCUCCGUCACCAGGGGCCGCCUGCAGCUCUCAACUGUGUGUUAGUGCUGAUGCUAGCUGCUGGUGUGUGCCACAGAACAGGCCUCAUGUCAGUGCUCCCAGGGGAGACAUCAAUGAGCAAAUAGCGACAGCUCUGCUGAGGCUGCAUCAUGAUAUGGCCGAUGUGUUGCACAGGCUGCACACUUUGGAGGUGCUCACCAUGUCACAGGUGAAAGACCAUCAGUGUAAGGCACAAUGUAUAGGCUGUGUUGCAUAG
rnacentral:lncRNA from 1 species